rnacentral:rRNA from 1 species
GAUGAACGCUGGCGGCGUGCCUAAUACAUGCAAGUCGAGCGAACAGACGAGGAGCUUGCUCCUUUGACGUUAGCGGCGGACGGGUGAGUAACACGUGGAUAACCUACCUAUAAGACUGGGAUAACUUCGGGAAACCGGAGCUAAUACCGGAUAACAUGUUGAACCGCAUGGUUCAACAGUGAAAGACGGUCUUGCUGUCACUUAUAGAUGGCUCCGCGCCGCAUUAGCUAGUUGGUAAGGUAACGGCUUACCAAGGCAACGAUGCGUAGCCGACCUGAGAGGGUGAUCGGCCACACUGGAACUGAGACACGGUCCAGACUCCUACGGGAGGCAGCAGUAGGGAAUCUUCCGCAAUGGGCGAAAGCCUGACGGAGCAACGCCGCGUGAGUGAAGAAGGUCUUCGGAUCGUAAAACUCUGUUAGUAGGGAAGAACAAAUGUGUAAGUAACUAUGCACGUCUUGACGGUACCUAAUCAGAAAGCCACGGCUAACUACGUG